GACUCGGUAGCUCAGUUGGAUAGAGCGAUUGCCUCCUAAGCAAUAGGUCGCUGGUUCGAUUCCAGUCCGGGUCA
rnacentral:tRNA from 1 species